rnacentral:rRNA from 1 species
CAGCGGAAAGGCCCUUCUGGGUACUCCAGCGGCGAACGGGUGAGUAACACGUGAGCAACCUGCCCCAGGCAUUUGGGAUAACCCCGGGAAACCGGGGCAUAAUACCGAAUAUGACCUUCCACCGCAUGGUUUUUGGUGGAAAGUUUUUCGGCUUGGGAUGGGCUCGCGGCCUAUCAGCUUGUUGGUGGGGUGAUGGCCUACCAAGGCGACUACGGUAGCCGGCCUGAGAGGGCGACCGGCCACACUGGGACUGAGACACGGCCCAAACUCCUACGGGAGGCAGCAGUGGGGAAUAUUGCACAAUGGGCGGAAGCCUGAUGCAGCGACCCCUCGUGAGGGGAUGACGGCCUUCCGGUUGUAAACCUCUUUCAGCAGGCGACAAGCUAAGUGACGGUACCUGCAGAAGAAGCGCCGCCAACUACGUGCCAGCAGCCGCGGUAAGACUAGGGCGCGAGCGUUGUCCGGAUUUAUUGGGCGUAAAGAGCUCGUAGGCGGCUUGUCGCGUCGACCGUGAAAACUUGGGGCUCAACCCCAAGCCUGCGGUCGAUACGGGCAGGCUAGAGUUCGCUAGGGGAGACUGGAAUUCCUGGUGUAGCGGUGAAAUGCGCAGAUAUCAGGAGGAACACCGCUGGCGAAGUCGGGUCCUCUGGAACCGUUACUAUACCCUGAGUGAAU